rnacentral:rRNA from 1 species
ACAGCAGUCGCCGCGGUAAUACAGAGGGUGCGAGCGUUAAUCGGAUUUACUGGGCGUAAAGCGUGCGUAGGCGGCUAAUUGAGUCGGAUGUGAAAUCCCCGAGCUUAACUUGGGAAUUGCAUUCGAUACUGGUUAGCUAGAGUGUGGGAGAGGAUGGUAGAAUUCCAGGUGUAGCGGUGAAAUGCGUAGAGAUCUGGAGGAAUACCGAUGGCGAAGGCAGCCAUCUGGCCUAACACUGACGCUGAGGUACGAAAGCAUGGGGAGCAAACAGGAUUAGAUACCCGAGUAGUCCCUGUCUCUUAUAC